UUGAUUUCCUCAUGUUCUAGUGCAUUGUUGAGUUGCUUAUAUACUUAAUGAGAUGAAUUUAUGAACAUGUCUUAGCUUGGAUUUGAUAGAUUCCUCCUUGAAUGUAUGUCAUGAGUAUAAAUUGCAUAUAGGCUCUAUGAAAUUUUGUUAAGAAUGUUUUAGUUCAGAGAUGAUAGUUCAUCCUUGGUUAUGAUUAGUCAAGAUAUUUCAUGCAUUAUGGGUUGUUAGAUGUAGUUCCUACCUUCCUAGAGAUGCAUAAACAUGUUUGAGAUUAGAGUUCAUGUUUCCUACUUAAUUGUGUGCAUUUAGAUUUGUUGUAUGCAUGAUUGUCUACUGGUCAAGCGUCGUUCCUUUAAGAGUUGUCAAGAUCGGCAUUCGAGGAAUAUUGUCCCCAAGGGAGAGAUAUUGUAACACAUUAUAGCUAUUAGACCAUCUAAAGAUAAGUAUGAAUGUAACAAGUCAAGACUAUAGGGUAAGAGACAAAGCAAAGGGCCAAGGGCGAAGGCUGCCCCAAGCUGCUACGACACUAGCCCACUCCACGAACACCACCACAGCCAAUGUUGUGGACCACAAAUUAUGGAGUGGUCCGUGGUGGAUAAAGAAAUAGCUACCUUAGGCUUCCCAAAUAUGGAUCAUCUUCACGAGCCACUUCACGGACAAUGGUGAAUACCACAGCUCGUGGGAAGGCCAUUGAAGAUGCCUUCAAAUUGUGGAGGACAAAUCAUAUUGGCCUAGGUACUGGUCCAACGACCACGAGCAGGACCACACCUCGUGGUGCCUGUCACUAGGCUGACUAAUGAAGGGUAAAAUGGGAAAUUUCCCCUGAAGUGGGUAUUAGGUGAGGUUGUUUUGUAGACUUUAAACACCUAUAUAAGAUAUUUUAACCCUUUACACUCCCCAAUUAAAUCAUUAAUUCCAAAACCCCAAAAAAAUCUCAAGUUUUCAUCCUCUCAAAAGAAAGUAAAAAAGAACAUGGUCAAGCUAGGUCAAAUCAAACAUUUAUUGUUUCUAACUUGGUAUGCUUUAUAAUCAAGGUAUGAUGAAUUAUUCAUCCAUUAAAUCCUUUCAUCCAUGGUUUUCCAAUGUUUUCCCUGAUUGUGAAGAUGAAAUCCCUAAUUCUGGGUAGGGUUUUUUCAAAUGUUUUGGAUAUUGAUGUACGUUGUCCAUUUGAGUGGAUAAUGGUAUCUUGUUUUAAAUUUAAAUUACAUUUUUAUAUACAUAACCCAUGUCUAUAGAAGUGAAAUUGAUGUAAUUUGGUUUUGUGUCAUGCAAGGUGAAAUUGAGGAUUUAGAUGCAAUCUUCUAAAAUUGAUGAAGUAUAUUAUAGAUUUCUUGAUAAAUAAGAAUAUAGACAUGAAUUGGAGGUGAUUAAUGUAUGUAUGCGAAUCAUGAUUAUUAGUGCUUUGGUUUGGGGAUAAUAUGAUGCAAUAUGUAUAGAUUACUUAAUAUGAAAGUUUAAAGGCAUGAUUUGGCUAAUAUCAAGUAUGCAUGCUGAGUUAUGAGUUGUAAGGCCUGGUAUUAGGAUUUUCUUGAGCCUAAGUUAUAAAUGAUUAUUGUUGGGUCUUUUAGAAUAAAGCUUAUACGUUCAAUUAUGACUAGUUGGGCGUUAGAGUAAAGCUAAUAUGAUGAUUUAAGACUACCGAGGCUUUGAGAGUAUGAUGAAUCUUAAUUGUAUAUGGUAUUGUUGUGGAAGGAUUACCCACAUGAUCUAUACUAUAAAUAUAUUCAUGUUCUUAUAUAAUCUAUGUAAAUUCUUCAAGGACACUUUUAGAGUAAAGUGUUAAUGAUUAUAAAGUUGUUGUUAUAUUAGUUGAAAGGACACUCUCUUGAACACUUAAUGGACAUGACAUGAAAGGUUUUAUCACAUAGAAUAAUUCUAGGUUGAAAGUCUUUCUCACCUAGUAUGAAUCAAAACAUGUUAGAAUUAUGGUAUCUUGAAGUAGUGAUAAGAUAUACCUUCAUGAAUAGCUUGACUAGGGAAGGAAAAACAACACUUGGUAGCUUGAGUUAGGAGUCCUCAUAGACAGCCUUGGGCUGAGCAAUAGUACCUUUCCAAUGGUUAGCUUGAACUAAUUAGAAUAUAGUGCUUGCCAUGGUAGCAUGACUUUGUGAGGCCACACCAUAUCAUUGGUAGCUUGGAUUGGGCAAUAGUACCCUUUCUUGAGUAGCUUAGACUUGCACAAGUAAUGUUCCUUCCAUGGUAGUUUAGUCUAGCAUCAGGUAGAGUAUACCAUGGUAGCCUUGAAUUGUCGUAACCAUUCCUGAGUAAUGGAUUGUCUUGAACUAGUAAAGAGGCACUCUUCCAUGUAUAACAAGAAUAGCUAAAGAUGGACUAGUCCCAAAUUGAAAUAUCAUGUUUUCGAUGAAACUAGAUUACUUCAAGAUAGUAUUGUAAUUAUGUUUUUAUAUGAGAUUUACUUGACAUGAUGUAUACUUAGCUUGGAUUGUUGCUAUAGUUGCAUUCCUUGAUAUGUUUGACUAAAGGUGAAUGUUCCCUGUCUAUUAGGAAUAAGCUAAGGAUGAGAUCAAAUCAUGAUGUAUAUGAAAGAGGGCCUAAAGUGGAUUGCAUAGCGUAGUUGAGAUUUAUGGGUUCAUGUACAAAUAUGCUUUUAGUUACUUAUGAAGUGGGUAGCUAUAAAUUAUAAAGUUUAAAAUAGAAUGAUCGCUUGUGCAGAUCAAGAGGCUACCAAACUAAUUUUAUGCAAUUUAUGGUCAUUUAUGUGUUGAUCACUUCUGUACGUCAUUUAGAACAUUCCUAUUGUGACCCAAGUUAGUUUUGAUUUUUUGGGAGUGAUAGCUCCGUCACUUGGUAAUUUUUCGGUUAUAUGUAAAUUUCUAUGUUUCGGAGCUUAAGAACCUUGAACGGUAGUUAUUGAUCAAAUUCUUAGGAACAUGACAAUUAGAAACAUAUCCCAACAAUUUCAUCAUCUCUAUAAGAGUCAUUUUAGGGUAGUAGGAUUAUCGACAUUACUCUUGAGGCUUUCAAUGUGAAUCUAUGUGAUUAGGACUUUUAACUUCCAAUUUAGGGCCUAGGUUUCACCUUAGUUAUAUUCCUGGUAAACAUGCUUGAUUAAUAAUUCCAUCGGUACAGUUAUCUCUUUGAGUUUUUUCUAGAACGACUCUUUGUGUAAAUCCGGAGGCCUUGGGUUAGUCGUGAUCCCCUUGUGUAUUUUGAAUUAAAAUAGAGUCUAGGGUGGGACUUACAUUUUUCUAUCAUGACCUUGUAAGAGAAUUUUGACUACUUCUUUGAGCAUAUAAUAUUGAUCUUAGUAGGGUCGAAUAUAUGGUUUCCAUACACGGGGUUCCAAACAAAUUCAGAGCACCCCAUUGAAAAUGAACUUACCAAUAAUAGUUGUUGUGCAUCAGCUAGUGUAGGAUAAGUUACUCUUCGCCUUCACGGGCCCCUUAGCCAUGUUAUCAAAGGACUUGCCCUUGGUGCUUCUCGAAAUUUAGGCCUUUGGUCAUAAUCGCUAUUAAGGUUUUAAAAUAUUUGGUCAUCACAACCGCGAUAAUGGCCUCCGUAAUUAAGAUGGUCAACUUCUUUGUGAAUGAUCGUGAUCAUUCUUGUCUCGAUUGUGAUGAGAAGCUUAAUAUAGAAUUUUAUAUAUGGACCAAAUAUGAUUUCAACUUUAUUUGGAAGCUUGAAAGGAUGAUAUCUCUCGUUUUAGCUCAAAAUUGGGUGAUUCGAAGUCUUGUGCAUCCAAAAUUGUAGGAGCUUCUCUAUGGAGUUAUAAAGAAAAUGUUGGGCAGCCUCUAUUUUAUUUGAGAUACAUUCAAGUGUUAAGCUGACUACCUAAGCUUGUUUUCAGUUCUACGUUAGUAAAUUAUUUGCAUGUGAUGAUUUUCCAUUAUUCCAAACCCCUAAUCAUGUUCGAUUUUGCAAAAAUUGUAUCAACACAAUUAGCUCUAGAAUGUUGAGUUUUAUCAAGAAUGAACCUUUGUUAAGAUAUGUAUGCUUUGGGUUAAUUCUGUGCCCCUUGUGAAUUUUGAAUUAUAUUUUGCUUAGCUGAAAUUCUAUGCGAAUUUGGAUUACUCUGUUGAGUACGGAAUAUCAAAUUUGUAGGUUUAUAUAUGUUAUUUUGGUGCACUGGGUAUAAAACUAAUUUGGAACACCCUAUCGGAGGUUUGAACUUGACAAAACAAGAUGAUGUGCAUCAGCUGGUGUAGUUGAUCUGCACUUCUCAUUUUCAGACCCCUUGGAUACGUUCUCCGACCAUGAGGCCUUUGGCCGCACUCACAAUUAAGGGUUGGCCUUAUUUAGUCUAGCAUGUUAUAUACAAACCAGACAGGAUUUCAGUUUUCUUUUGAAACUUCAAAGGGUGAUAUCUCUAAUUUCAUCUUUGAAAUGGGUUAUUUGAAGUCGAGGACAUCCAAAAUUGUAGGGAUUCCUAUGGAGUGAUCCAAAUUUUUUGGACAACCUCUAUUUGUGGUAAAUUCACUUUUUAAGAUGAACGCCUAAACUUACUUAUGGUUAUUAAACCCAACAACUUGUUGGUAAAUUAUUUUCAUGUGAUGAUUGUCAACUAUUUCGAGCUCUGAAUUGUGUUCCGUUUUGGAACACAAGUUCAAGGUACAAUUUAGAAGUUUUAACAGAGUCAAUUCCAAAAAUUAUACCACGGGUCUCAUGAUUCCCAUUUAACACUAAAAUUGGUCAGUUUUGGGUUUUAUGUCUUCUUAGUGUUGAAAUAAUCAAUUGACAUUGUGAUCCUUUUUUUCAUAUCACAACUGCGUUCUGAGUCCCUUUAAAAGGGGAAAGCUCCACAUUGUCUUUUGGAGUGCAUAUUGUUGGUCUAAAGGUAGGCUUCAACUUUCCAUUUGUUGGAUUGAGCUACAUUUCAUAAAUUUAUACCAAUUAGAGUUAAUUUGGGAGGGUACAUAGUUGUUCUUAUAUGCCUUCCUAGAUAACAUGUUUAGGUUUGAUUGGCUCUAGUUUGGGCAUAGUAUCAUGCUAGUUAGGGAUUAUAUGCUCUAAUUCUAUCUGCUGAAUUGAUUUGUAUGUUGUUAUUUUUUACGUUGGAGCAUGCGUGAUGUUGGUCUAGUACUAGCCUAUUGUUGCCUUAGACUUGCGAAUCUUAUGGCCAUUAGGCCUUGUUUCUUUUUCAUCAUUUUUUUAGAUAGAUUAGCCUCCCCUAAACUAGAGUAGUAGAGUUGAAUAUUAUAGAAUGAGCCUUCAUUUAGUAGUUGUUUCAGAUUUUUCUAGCUACCAUUAACUUCCCCUUUUUUAUGGCCCCAUUACAAAAUUGGAGGUCCCGUUGUUUGUUGGCGGCUUGAGAUUGGAAUGGUUCGGGCUUGCCAAGUUCGCAAGUUAAGAACAAAGGAGGUCACAUCAGUCAAGAUCCUAUAGAGGACCACAUUUGUUGAACAAGCUACUUGGGAAGCUGAAGAGGAUAUGAAGAAAAUAUAUCCACAUUUCUUUGAAUUUGGAGGAGAUGCAGAUUUUAGAUCCUCAACAUUGCAAGAGUGGUCCAUAAGCUUAUGCAUUUGGUCACUUGGCAAAUAUGUGGUUUUGUAAGUUAAUAUGAAAAAGAAAGGUGGUUACAAUAUAUUUUCUGGUAUCAUGAAAAUCUAUGUUGGAUUGUGUUGAAUAAGUAGAGAACUUCAAAACACUUAGUACUCAAUAAAGAUCUAGAUUUAACUUUUAUGUAAUUAAUAUUUUGACAUACAUAAUUAUCACGAAGGGAAAAUAAUUAAUUCUACAAGAGACAUUUUAUUAUAUGAAUUUAUAGUAAAUCUAAAAAUGAAGUUGUUAUCCAACUAUUUCUUACUCAUACAAUAAUAGUUUGCUUAGAACAUAAUAAAUUGUUCAAUUGUUCAAAUACAAAGAGAAAGAGAAUAAUUUAUUUUAUGGAAAAGGACCUAAAAUAAACUCAAAGUAUUGAAAAUGGUACACAAUUACCCUCCAUCCACCUAUUGGCCUCCAAAUACCCUUUACAUCCACCUUUGGGUCCAAAUUUACCCCUUUCAUUAACAGAAAACCAUUUUAAAUAUUUAAAUAAUACUUUUAAUUAUGUAGCACUCGACCAUUGAUGAAAGGGGUAAAUUUGGACACAAAUGUGGAUGGGAAGAGUAUUUGGGGGUCAAUAGGUGGAUGGAGGGUAAUUGUGUAUCAUUUCAAUACUUCGAUGAUAUUUUUAGCCCGUUUUCCUUUUAUUUUAACCCUUAAGCAGCACAUGUUCUUACUUCUCAACAUCAUUAGAACAUGAUGCAUGUAAAUGUUUUCCAACCCAUAUUACUUCUCUCUAUUACAAUCAUUUGUCAAAAAUCCUAAACAAAACAGAACAUAAAAAAAAAGAGAGAAAAAAUCCAGAAACUGAACAUGGAUUCGGAUAUUGUUGGAAUUCUGACCCUCAAAUUUGCCUAAGGAACAAGUAUAUACUAUAUGUUUCUUUGCAGAUUACAGCAGUUUCAUUUUGUGAUAUAAGUAACAUAAUGACACAAUAUUUUAUCGCGGAAAACACCAACUCACAACGGAUAAAAACCACGACCUACACCUCUGUAGGAUUUAACUCCACUUUAUAAACUUCAAGUCUCAAUAUAAUAUUACAAGACUAUGUAACCUAAGGAAUUAUAAACUCUAAUUUCAAGAGGAAUUAUAAACUCUAAUUCCUAACUAAGAAAUAAUUAACUCUAAUUUCUAACUACCCAAGACAAAAACGCCCAGGUUUUAAGUCUUCUACCAUCCGUCAAAUUUUCAAACUUGUUAGACGAAUCCUACAUAAACACUCGAUUAUAAUUAAAACUCUUAAUUACAAUCUUACAAUGUUUUUCUCACAAAUUGGCAACACUCCCAAGUAACUCUCAGAACUCUCUCAAACCUCUUGAUCGUGUUUUGAUCUUCUCUCUAUGUAAUCGCAAUUUUCCUCAAGCAAAACUAUCAUCGUAUUUAUAGAUUUUGACUUAAAUCCAAAACCUAUUACAACUAGAAAUCCUACUUCAUGUAGAACUCCUCUUUUGUGUGAACUCCUAGUUCAACUCAAACUUGUCUUCGCGCAUCUUCAACUCCUUGUUGGAAUCAACUUUGUUUUUGCCUCUACGAAACCUUGUUAAGUUCAACUUGAAUUCUUUAUCAUUGUUUGUCUUUGCCGCAACCGCAUCUUCGUUCUCCUUAAACAUAUGUUGUUGCCUCAAGGUAAACUUAUACUUAGUUUUCCUUAAAUAAGUUGCCAGGAAAACUUACAAUCAAUUUUCCUUAAUUAAAUAAGAAAACCUUCAACAAAAUUUCCUUAAUAAAAUAAGAAAAACCUUAGAACGCUAGUUCUUUUUUCAACAUGAUUGCGAAAUCCGUUAUAAAAGGAAACUUUCGGUAUUGGUUGAUUGUCGAAAAAUCAAUACUUUCAUAGCUUUAUAUCUUCUAUUCGCGAGAUUGACGUUCUCCUUAUCCAAUUUAGAUUCUGUGCGUAAGGAACACGUCAAAUAACCUGUUUCUUUCAUAUGUUCCUGUAUUUGUCAAUUAUCAAAAUAUUUCUCAUUCUAACAAAUUCCCCCUUUUUGAUGAUGACAAACAUACAUUACGAACACAACAAAUAAGACAUACAUCUUUCCCCUUAUGCCAUGUUAGUGCUACAACUCUUUAACUUUGUCAUACUUCAAAACAACGAGCCUUUAACAAAUUCCCCCUUUUUGACUAUGUCAAAUUUUAACUUCUCACAUUGAAUAAGCUAAACUCUUAUGCAGUUGCUUCCCCCUUUUGACAUUAUGCAAAAAUAAAACACUGUGAGGCAUACACCAUACUAAGAGAAGAAAAUUUGAUACUCAUGACCACUGGCUAUCACCUACUCAACCACUUAAAAAAUCAAGAACUCAGUUACCUAUAGCAAAGUGUUUGCACAAAACAUAUUAGAUAGACAUGAACCUGAAACUCAAACCCAACACUAGCAUUACUCAAAAAGCAUAUACACCACAAAUGUAAUCAAAAUUAAAGAUAGAAUCAAGCAAUUGUGAUGAGAAAAAAUUGGGAAGUCAAAGGCUAGACUGGCUAGGUAAUAUCAGAAGAUCGGGCAUAAGAUGGUAAAAAAAGUGAUUUUUUCAGCAGCAAAAAAAUGAGGAUUAACAAAUUAGCACCCUUCUCAAUCUCAAUUUGCAAGCUCAAUCUUUUUAUAUCAAUUUUAAGGAACUUGUUCAAUCGAUCGUGUACCCUGUGCAGAACCAAUAGUUCACCCAUCUUUAAUUUCAAUAGAAUCGGUAAGAAGAACAAGUUUUCUUGAACAUUAUUUGUAGAGGAUUAUGUUCUCUCAAUCUGUUCCCUGGGCGUGGUGCUAUCAGAUGCAGCAUUGAUAUACCGUGGUUUCACAGUAUUAUUAAUACUUUUUCCUUAAGUUUAGUGUAACCAAAAGCCUUUUUGUGCUAAUUUUUAUAUAAGUUUCUCUUUGUUUUGCAGGAAGUCUGUCCAAAGCUGAAUGCGGAGAUUUUGAGCAAAGAAAUGCAUAAGAGACCACCUACGGAACUUGUGACGGUCCGUCGUACUUGUGACGGUACGUAGGUGGCAGCGUAGUGCAACUGCUGAAGGAAGAUGGGGAAGUCUGACCAAGUGUGGGAUUAUGUAGCUUGUGACGGUCCGUCGUGUCUCUGGCGGUCCGUCCUGCAAAUUCACCGUGAAGUUCAGAGAAGUGAUCCAGUACCCAGAUUCCAAGAGUUGAAGUGUUUUAGAACGAAGACCCUCGACGGACCGUUGUGCCUAUGACGGUCCAUCAUACUUGCCGUUGAGGGGAAUGAAGAGAGCAGCAGAAUAAAUUGCACAAUUAUGGGACGAUGGAGUCCACGACGGUCCGUUGUGACCACAACGGUCUGUCGCGAGGUCCGUCGAUCCAGCCGCGUUUUGGCAGAUUUCCAACAAUUAGAAUCCUUGUUUAAUUAGGUUUUUGUUUUUUUAUAAAUAGUUCGAAAAACCUCAUUUUUGAGGUUAGACACCAGAUAGUUAGACUCCAUAUUAUUAGACUUUGUGUAUUAGAUUUUGAGAUUCUUGCAAUUGAUUUUUGGAGAUUAAUCAAGCAAACUUUGGAUUUUAUUCUUUCUCAUUGAAGUAAGUACAUGAAUUUGUAUUUAAUAUACUUGAAUACUGUGUUUAUGGCUAUGAGUAACUAAACUCCAUAACUAGGGUUGUGGGAACCAUAGGCAAAUAAUGAGAUAAACCCUAACUAAAAUAACAAUUCUAGAUUAGUAUCUUGCAUGUAUUAAUAAUUCUUUCGCUUAAAAGUCUUUUUAACGGAUGGCCAACAUUAGAACUCGUCUUAAUGCUACUUUCCGGACCAAGGAGGUAGAUAAUAGGAAAAGAAUUAUUAACAUAGAUUUAGUUUAUACUAUCUAAUAGGCUAGUAUUGAUUGGUACGAGGUAAUAACUUAGUCAAAUAUCAAAUACGAUGCUUAAUAUGAGGUAAGGGUAAGGGUUAAGAUAGCAACACACGUAGCCGGACCAAGGUGCGGAGUGAGAUUUUCUAGAUGCCGGACCAAGGAUUUAGAAAUACAUAACUUAUCACUUUGCAUGCAAGAUACUAGGAAAGAAUUGUUAUAGUUAGAAUUAUCAAGUUAUGAACCUGUGGGGAACACGUAAACCCUAGUUACUUUGAUUAAUUGAUUAAAACCCAACAUCCAAAGCUGUUAAGUGUCUCUUUCGAUUUCGUUAUUUAUUUUCACUCAUUUAGAAAUAGAAACCCCCUUUAUUUUUUUUUACUUUCCAAGGAAGUCAUUAACCAAACAAUAGUAAUAAUAGGUUGAAGAUAAGUCUAGACUAAUUUCCUUGUGGGACACUAGUUGGGUUAUUUACUUGACACGACCGCACUACUUCUUAUUUGAGAAGUAAGUUUGAGCGUAUCAAAUUUUGGCGCUGCUGCCGGGGAUUUUAGCUUUUAGAUUAACUUAAACUUAUUACUAUAGUUUAGUUGAUAUUUUCUUGAUUUUACUUUGUUUUAUUGUUUUUGAUUUCUUUUCAGAACCAUCCUCCUUGUAUGCCAAAUACACGGAGAGGAAGAGAACCCUUGUUUCCCUAGGAUCAAGAGUUAGGGAGUACACUGCGCAAUAUGAAUCGAAACUUGGGAAUAAAUGAUGAGGAUCCGAACCAGAACAUCCCAGCUCCGGUUGAUGUUCAUGGUCAGAUGUUACCCGAUGCUCUGGGUGAAUAUCAAUAGAGGGGACAGAAGCCCAUUCCACGGCCCCAAGCAUACUACAGAGGGUAUGAUAACAUAGCAGACUCGGAUGGGGCACUUGUCUUUCCCCCUCUACCCACAGGCCACACCUUUGUGGUAACUAGUAGCCUGAUGCAAAUGCUCACUGCCAGAGGUUUGUUUUCAGGGCUACCUUCUGAGGAUCCACAUGCCCAUAUAGCUAAGGUAAGGCAGUGUGUAAAAGUUGUGUGGGGAGGCCUGAUUUGGAUCUAGAUGUAAUUGGGCUCAGAGUGUUCCCUCUCUCACUGAUGGGAGAGGCUGCUAUAUGGUUCACUGAGCUCCCAUUCAACUCAAUCUUCACUUGGAACCAAUUAAGAGAUGUCUUCUUAGCAUGCUACUAUCCGGUCUCCAAGAAACUAAACCACAAAGACAGAGUGAACAACUUUGUGACACUACCAGGAGAGUCAGUUAGUAGUUCUUGGGAUAGAUUCACCUCAUUCUUGAGAAGUGUUCCAAAUCACCGUAUAGAUGAUGAGUCACUGAAGGAAUACUUCUAUCGGGGACAGGAUGAUAACAAUAAAGCGGUGUUGGACACUAUAGCAGGUGGAUCUUAUGGGGAGUGUCCUUAUGUUGAGAUCGCUGAAAAAUUAGAGAAAAUCUCCCGGAAUAACAAAGCUUGGAGUACUAGGUAGUCUGAUACAGGGAGAAACACCUUCACAGUGCAGUCCACUCACAACCCAACCACAGAUGAGAUUCGGGAAGAAAUGGCUCAGAUGAGAACUGAGCUUGGAUUGGUACUAAAACAUGUCACAGGGGGUGCAGAAAAGAUAAAUGCAGUCAACUACUUGGCUAAACCACCACCUCCUAAUGAUGAGUGCUAUUAUGCGGAGGACACUUAUGCAGUAAAUGAGCAGACGGGGGGUUUCCGACCAAGCGCCCAAGGCUCAAAUCAGGAUAAUUGGCGCCAAGGUCAACGGAACCAAGGUCGGAAUUAUGGUAACUACAACCGUGAGGGUCAUUAUGUCCGAGAUGGAAACUACAAUCGCGACAACAACUUCAACAGGGGUAACUAUGGUAAUAGAAACGACAGGAAUGGACCCUAUGUUCCUCCUUAGAAUCGUGAAGUUACUCCUAGGGAUGGUGGAGAUAGUAUGGCGCGAGUUGAGGAUAUGUUGCACAAAAUGAUGAGGAGGUUCGACAUUAGUGAUAACACAUUAAAGAGUUGAGGUGUGAUUUAGCUAGUAUUGGGCAAAAAGUUGAUACACAUGCAAUUUCAAUUAAACAGAUCGAAUUGCAAGUGGCCCAAUUAUCUGCGACAGUGAACACACGGAAACCGGACACACUUCCCAGCAACACUGUCCAAAAUCCAAAGAAUGAUGCGCACUGUAUGGCAAUCACUACUCGGGGUGGUAGGCAAACCAUUGACCCACCUAUGCCAUCUACUGGGGAAAAUGUGAGAAAGGAUAAUGAUAAUGUGGUAAAGGGUAGUGGUGAAGCAGAGGAAAGUAAUGGAAAAUAUGCAGAAGUACCAACCCCUCAUUUCACCCCCAUUACUUCAUAAUUUCUCCCAUUACUCUUCCCUUCUCAACUUCCACUAUCUGUUUCUCUCUCAACCACCGAUCAUUGCCCUCUCACAAUUCCCCAAAGCUCUAAAGUGUUAUCUACUAGUGGAAACUGCUGAUGUGAGUGUCUACCUUGCCACCAAGUACUUGUGCAUUUGUUUUUCUCCAUCUCUAAGGUAUGUGUCUCUAAAUUUAUACUUAUUUAUCUUGCCUUUUUGUUUACUAGUUAGUAUUAUGCUUAGUUCCUCUUCGUAUGUUGUUUACUUUAGAUGAUUCUCUCUAACCUAGGUUAUAAAUGUUCAAAAUUGCCAUGUUUACCACCCUAGACAUAGGUGCUUUUGCGUUGCCAGUUUCCUAGGUAGUUGGGUUAGACACAUGUAGGUCCAAAACACUACAAGGUUGAUGUGGGUUCAUCGGGGAUGCUUAGGAUACCCUUAGUUCUGUUACUGUCCUUCAGAACGAGACCCCGAUGAUGGACCAUCGUACCUACGACGGACCGUCAUAGGGUCCGUUGCAAAAGCCCUAGCACCCCUGUCCCAACGGACACAUGUGACGGAUCGUCGUACUCACGACGGUCCGUCCUGCAUAACCGUCAUGCUAGAUAGAGACCGUGUUUCUAAGGGUCUCCAUUUUUUUCAAGUGUCCUACGAUGGACCGUCGUACUUGUGACGGUCCAUCCUGCACAUACCGUCAUGCUAGUUAGAGACUCUCCUUCAGGGUUCUCUAUAUAUACAUAGUCUAAGUAAAACACGACAGACCUCACGACGGUCCGUCACAGUCACGACAAGCCGUCACCAGAACCGUCGUGUGUCACUGCUUCUACAACAAUGACAUGCUAUUUUUAAUGAUUUAUUUCGUAUGGUUUCGCUUGUCUUGUUUGCCACUACUCGUACUAAUAUUGAUCCUUUGCAGGUACUAUCUACUAUGGCACCCAAGCAAGACCGAACCAAUGCACGCAGGCGAUCAAAGUUUGUCGCCCCGUCUGCACGCAUGAUCAUCGGCUCUAAUGAUGAGUGGGACCCUCAGUAUGUGCCCCCAGACACUUCCACACCUUCUCGUGCUGCACGUGCUCCUAGAGCCACACCCAAAAAGGUGGCGUCCGGCGUAGUCACUGCUUCCCAGUCUGAUGAGGAGCGCACACUAACCGGCACACCCUCUGGGUCAGCCACCAAUGAGGAAGGAGCGUCUGGCUCCUAGGAGUAUCCUGGUCCAAAGAAGCCUCUGGCUCUGCUAAGGUUCCCGCACCCGCCACUGCUGCAGCGUUGGCCUCGUCUAAUGAGGCUGACAGUUCAGACUCUACAUCUGGCUCACCAGCUUCGGUCCCCACUCAAGCAAUUGACCAGCCCAACCGGUGGUGUGUCGACAAGCAGUUUCAAGUCUACUCCGACGCCAAGUUCCUGACUGAUAAAGGAGUGAUGACUCGAACACUCACUUUGGAGCGGCGGGUACUUACAGGGAGUCUCCCAACGAUGCCGGAGAUCCACAACCUCUUCACUAGGCAUCGCUUAGAGUGGACAGCACGUCCGUUGGGACGAUACAGCGAGGAAAUGGUCCAAGAGUUCUACGCAUCCUACGUAGCGACUCUCCGAUCACAGAUCGAUAGGCGGGAUGCCCCGCUAAACAGGCCCCACUGGAGCAGGUCUGAGUCCAAGGUGUGUAGGUUGACAUUUCCCUGCCAUCCAUCCGCCUGUUUCUGUACGGCGAGAGUAUUGAUGCUACUCGGACCCCCUUCACUGCUGAGUUUGACUACCGCUGGCAGAUAGUCAAGGAUGGCCAGUUCUUGCGCGAGCCAACACUGAGAGAGACCACCAAGAGGUGGAUGGCCCUGCACCUGUCAGUAGAUGGAGAGGGUGCCGAUUGGGUGAAUGAGCCGAAGGGGGCCAUCAAGAAGGCCAACCUGACGUUCACAGCAAAGUUCUUGUGGCUGCUUGUCCGUCACUGCCUUUCCCCCACAGCUGCUGAUAACAUCGUUAUCUGGGAUCGAGCAGUGUUGAUGGCGGUGAUGAUAUCCGGAUUCGAGGUGGACUUCGCAUGGCUUCUCUAGGCAGUCAUGCACGAGAGGGCAUUCAAGGUCACUACUACCUACCCUUUCCAGUGCAUGAUCUUUGCCCUUUGCAGGUCCGUAGUUGUGCCCAUAUGGCACGUAGAUUAGCUUAAGACCCCGCAAGGCACUGUAGACAUCAGCCUCAUCAGAGAUGAGGCCAAUGAGUUGGCUCCACGUAGAGGGCCCCGUCCAGAUCUGCCCCCACUUGCUGAUGAUCUUGUUGAUAUGGUAGCCCAGGCCCACACAGCUACACAGGCGUCCACUGACACUACCCCGGUCGAGUCUAUCCCGGGUAGUGGCAUAGCCCCGAGCUCCUCUCGCACAGCCCCUCUACCGGCACUGGUCCCUCUUGCAAGGGUCCAAAAACUAGAGGCACAAAUGGCCACUCUUCUGCAUCAUAUCCAGUCGUGGAUGCAGAAGUCGAACACUGAGUCCGAAGAGCGUCUAGAGAGGAAAAUGAUGUAGUUUAUAGAGCGGAAGAUUGUUGAGGUUAACCAGCGACUGGACGCCUUUGAGUUGAGAGUGCUAGCCCGACCAGCCCCUCCGGUGGAUGUGUCGACUCUUCAGGCUGCAGUCGACAGUCUUCGUGCAGACAUCGACACGAUCUUAGAGGCUAGGGUGCCGGAGUCUGAGGCCCCUUUUGUCGAGCCUGCUGAGGACACCGUGUUGGCGACCCUUUUUGCUACUUCUGACAUUCCACCACCUCCCCAUCGAGAGAGUGCCAAGAGGUGUAGGGGUCGAGCAGAGGACGAGGUGCGAGCAAGGAAGAAGGAGCGCCGAGAUAUAGAGGCCGAGGAAAGCCUCUCUUGCUGAGGAGGAGGCGCACCGAAGGAGAGCAUCUGAGUUAGGCGUUGGGGUGUCUAGGUCCCGCACUGUGGAGAUAGCAGGAGGCACUAAUGAUGGUGCAGAUGUUGCUGAGGAUACCACUGAGGGUGUCCAGAUUGCAGAGGACAUGGGUUCCGGGGAACCGAACCCACCAUCUUGCUGAUAGAUGGCGCUUUGCGCCACAGGUUUGCUUCACCUACCACUCUUCUUAUAUUUCGAUUUUUAUGCAUUGGGGACAAUUACAUGCUUUUUUGUUAGGGGUGUGGUAAAUGGAUAGUGAGUGUUAGGGUGAAGUCUGAGUAGCCCAAUUCACUAUCCUCUUUUGGGGGUUUCUUGCCUGUGUUCUUUUCCCCCAAAAGACUGAUUACUUUUUCUGUUGAACCGGCAUGUUUAUAUCUUUUGUACAUAGUUUAAAUCUGAAGCAUGAUGGCUAAAAUGAUAUCAUGAUAAACUGGAAAAUAAUGCAUGACUAGGCAUAGUAACUGAUAAUUGUGUGGCUCUAAGCAUGAAAUAGAGUUACACCAUUGCAUUACUCUAAGUCUUUAAUUCGAACUAGGUGUCUGAUAAUCUGGUAUAGUGAUGAGAUGUCAAGUGAGUGUGAGGAAAUUUGAAUAGUCCACUAUUGGUACUGAGCUAGAACUUGCCUGGUUAGUCCUGCUAAAAGUAAGUUGUAAUAGACAAUUAGGAAAUGAUCAUAGGCCCUUAUUCAAUAUAGCCCACUUCUAGCCUAAAUAAAAGAAACCAAAUGAAAUUUAUCCUUCUUUGAUCCAAAUAAUCUGAGCUUAAAAUUAGACCUUUCUUUUUCACCCCAACUGAUCUUUUAUGGGAACAAUGUGUUGGCCCUGGUCCCUCCUUGGACAUGUGCACCUCAGCUUAUGCCAAAAGCAUAAGUUGAGGGUGGCUAAUGCAUAAAAAACCUUCGUUAUGGUCCUGACCCAACUUUGGGUAUUGUGUACCUUGACUCAUGGCAAAGCCAUGAGUUAAGGGUGGCUACUAUGAGGAAUGCUAUGGAAAGUGGGGUUGAAAGAACAAAGAAAGAGAAAGAACAAAAGUAAAGUGACUCAAAAAUUAGAUGAAAAGAAAAGUAAAGAAAAGAAACAUCCACAAGAAAUACAAGCAAGAAAAGAAGAGAGUCACUUACACAAAUGAAGAAAGAAGAGAAAAUAGCAAGGUGAAAGAAUAUGAGAAACUGGGCGAGAUAAAAUGAGAGACAGUGGAAGGUUUAGCCUAUAUGUCAAGGAGGGAAAAAAGUCACUAAAGUAUACCAAAAUAUACCUUACUUGACCCCAAGCCUAUGUUACUAGCUAAAAAAGUCCUAUCGUGAUCCUAAGGGUUGUAUAGCGAACUUAAUGCAGUGAAAAUAAGGGCAAGCUUAUGGCAAAACGUAUGAAUGAGUGUGACUUUGUUCUGAGAGUGAGUGUUGAAAAUUAAUCCUUAUACUCAAACUGAAAUCAUUGUGUGAAAAAGGAGGAUUUUAUUUUAAAGUGAGGACACUAGUUGCAAUACCAGAAUUGUUAGCACCUCGGUGAGAAAUUGAAGAGGAUAGGUGUUAUUGCGUGGUGAGUCUGUAUCAUGUUCUGAUCCCACAGAAUUCAAGCCUAAUAGUGAUAGCAUGCUUAGAUUUGAUGAGAUUAAUCGGGAUUGAUAGACAAAUGAUUGCAAAGGAUAAAACAUGGAUACUAUUGUACAAAGAUUGUGUAGUGAGUCAUAGUGCGUCGCUUGAGGACAAACAACGAAUUUAAGUUGAGGGUGUUGAUAUACCGUGGUUUCACGGUAUUAUUAAUACUUUUUCCUUAAGUUUAUUGUGUCCAAAAGCCUUUUUGUGCUAAUUUUUAUAUAAGUUUCUCUUUGUUUUGCAGGAAAUCUGUCCAAAGCUGAAUGCGGAGAUUUUGAGCGAAGAAAUGCAGAAGAGACCACCUACGGAGCUUGUGACGGUCCAUCGUGCUUGUGACGGUCCGUAGGUGGCAGCGUAGUGCAGCUGCUGAAGGAAGAUGGGGAAGUCUGACCAAGUGUGGGAUUACGUAGCUUGUGACGGUCCGUCGUGUCUCUGACGGUCCGUCCUACAGAUUCGUCGUGAAGUUCAGAAAAGUGAUCCCAGUACCCAGAUUCCAAGAGUUGAAGUGUUUUAGAACGAAGACCCUCGACGGACCGUUGUACCUAUGACGGUCCGUCAUACUUGCCGUCGAGGGGAAUGAAGAGAGCAGCAGAAUAAAUUGCACAAGUAUGGGACGACGGAGUUCAGACGGUCCGUUAUGACCACAACGGUCCGUCGCGAGGUCCGUCGACCCAGCCGCGUUUUGGCAGAUUUCCAGCAAUUAGAAUCCUUGUUUAGUUAGGUUUUUGUUUUUUUUAUAAAUAGUUCGAAAUACCUCAAUUUUGAGGUUAGACACCAGAUAGUUAGACUCCGUAUUAUUAGACUUCGUGUAUUAGAUUUUGAGAUUCUUGCAAUUGAUUUUUGGAGAUUAAUCAAGCAAACUUUGGAUUUUAUUCUUUCUCAUUAAAGUAAGUACAUGAAUUCGUAUUUAAUAUAUUUGAAUAUUGUGUUUAUGGCUAUGAGUAACUAAACUCCAUAACUAGGGUUGUGGGAACCAUAGGCAAAUAAUGAGAUAAACCCUAACUAAAAUAACAAUUCUAGAUUAGUAUCUUGCAUGUAUUAAUAAAUAUUUCGCUUAAAAGUCUUUUUAACGGAUGGCCAACGUUAGAACUCGCCUUAAUGCUACUUGCCGGACCAAGGAGGUAGCUAAUAGGAAAAGAAUUAUUAACAUAGAUUUAGUGUAUACUAUCUAAUAGGCUAGUAUUGAUUGGUACGAGGUAAUAACUUAGUCAAAUAUCGAAUACGAUGCUUAAUAUGAGGUAAGGGUAAGGGUUAAGAUAGCAACACACGUAGCCGGACCAAGGUGCGGAGUGACAUUUUCUAGAUGCCGGACCAAGGAUUUAGAAAUACAUAACUUAUCACUUUGCAUGCAAGAUACUAGUAAAGAAUUGUUAUAGUUAAAAUUAUCAAGUUAUGAACCUGUGGGGAACACGUAAACUCUAGUUACUUUGAUUAAUUGAUUAAAACCCAACAUUCAAAGCUGUUAAGUGUCUCUUUCAAGUUCGUUAUUUAUUUUCACUCAUUUAGAAAUAGAAACCCCCCCCCCCUUUAUUGUUUUUUUACUUUCCAAGGAAGUCAUUAACCAAACAAUAAUAAUAAUAGGUUGAAGUUAAGUCUAGACUAAUUUCCUCGUGGGAACGAUCCCAACCUCACUAGUUGGGUUAUUUACUUGACACGGCCGCUUUACUUUUUAUUUGAGAAGUAAGUUUGAGCGUAUCAAGAAUCAACUAUAAUAACACCUUUUUGACAUCAAUCCUAAAUCCUAGUUUAUAUGGUUUCCAAUAGAAGAACCAGGUUCAAACAAAUGGGUCUCCCAUCGAUUCCCCUCACUAGAUGCACUCAAGUUGAGCCUAACAAGUGAACUAUAUUCAAGUGUAGGAUCUCCAAAAUAUUCCCCCUCACAAGGUGAAUCCUUCAUAUCCUUUAAUCUAUAUUUUAUAAGGCACCAAAGUAGAGGUGUCCUCCACCAAAUUCAUCUCAACCAUAGACCAUCACAUUGGGAUAAGGCUUUUUGUUUUGGUAGUAUUUAGGGCAUGAAUCACUUUUGGUACAAGUGGAAGAAAUAGGUUCAAGUGCAUUGAAUUUAUAUUUAAUCAUGAAUAUUUGUAGUGCACAUACCUUAGAUCUCUGGAUAAUGCUGAAUUUUGCUUCAAUUUUACUAAGCCUCUCUCUUGUGCCAGAUACAAUACAAUGUUUAUAGUGCAUGAGUAAUAUGACUUUAAAAGUGGUAUAGAUAAAUCAACUUAAUGUAUAAAACUGAGCAUAGAAUUCAAGAUUAGAGGGCAGUAUGUGCAAUGUUCAUUAGCCAUUGAGGAUACUCAUGUGACCUUAAUCAUCCCCAAGUUCCAAAUUGUUCCUUUUGAAAGUAUUUUCCUUGGCUGAUCAUAUAUUUGAUUGAUUGAUCAUCUGAGUGCGCAUAACUGUUAGAUACUGCAUAGGUUGGACCUGUUUAUUUCACAUGCUUCUUCAAUCAUUCCCUUUUUUUUCUCUUUUAUUUUUCAACCCCCUUUUUCAGUCAAUGUUAUUCAUCCAUUCCCUGUUUUUUCAAGUGAGAGGAAUUUCUUCAACUUUAAAUCAUGCAUCUAAAUAAACAUGUUCAAUUGGUGAAUGAUGCCUUCUUCCUCUCACUUUUCCUGCAAAUUCAAAGGUCAGAUUUAGGAACUCAGACUAGCUUGGGUCCUUUGUAUUGAGAAAAAUGAUGAAUCAUAUCUCUAUUAACCCAUAUUGGUAAAACAUUUUAGAUUUUUUUCUUUUCCCCCAACCUAUUCCUUUGACGUGAUUCCUUUCUUUUAACAUGGUUGGUUUUUCUAUUUGAGGCAGUUUUGAAGUUCUUAUCCGCGUGAGUUAUAACUAUUGGACAGGUACCCCUUGAGUGACCAAUACUAUCACAAUGUUUGCACAAAUAAGAGGUUUUCUUAGAAACUUCUUAAGCAAAAUUUAUUCCACCUUCAGUGUUAUGUAUUCUAUUACUGAGUUGAGACACAAUCAUGAGGAUAGAGUCCAUUUGUUUGCCCUCUCAAGCUCAUACUUAGUUCUAGCUAGGUCAAGAUUUAUUCUUCUAGAUUUUUCCCUUUCAUACGAUAGUUCAUUGUUUAACCUCAUUAGAUCUUGGUCACAUCUGAUUUGGUCACCACGAAUAUUCCAGUAACACCUUCUUUCAAAAUUUCAGAUUUGCGAGCCAAAGUAUAGGAAUGAAGUUGUUGUACCUGUUUCUUUAGGAGGUGAUUUUCUUUCUUGAGAUCAGAAUUAAUUUUUUCAAAAUCAAUAUAUUCAAAUUUUAAACUGGUUAAGGAAGUCAAUAACUGAUCUCUAUUUUCAUUUCACUCUUCAAGAUUAUCCAUGAGAGUUAGAAUAAAGGAAGAUAAUUUUUUCUUUGAAAAAGCUUUCAGUUUAUUUCUAAGGUCAAAAAGAUUUACCUCCCUUUUCUCAUGUCUGAUUCAGAUUCUGGUUCAGAUUCCUCCAUGGCCAUCAAAGAAACAUUUUCUAUAUCAUCUUUAAUUGAGUUGUCUGAACAUGUUCCCUAAUCAAUAGCAAUGUCAGAUUCUUUUUGUUUGCUCAAGGAAGUUCCUUCAUGUGCAUUGACCAAUGUGUCCCAAAUUUGUUUCGUUGUAGUACAACAAGAGACGAAAUUAAACUCGUCUGGUCCAGUCCACAUACAAGAAUAUACUUAUCUCUAGCAUUCUUGCGAUCAUUCUACAAUCAGCUUCUCCAUAUUAUGCCUUGGGCUUUGAAAUGACUUUCCCUUUAUCAUUCUUCAUCAUAGGAAUAAGGGGACCAUUAAUAACUGACAUUCAUAAUUCAUAGUCUUAGGCUUGUAGAAAAACAUCCAUUCUCGCCUUCCAUAGUGCAUAGUAAUGCCCAUUGAAUAGUGGUGGUUUAUUGACGUGUUGACCUAAACCGUGUCCGAGAGAAGUUGCAGGAUUCAUAUUGAUCGUAUCUUGAGUUAUUAGACUCUUCGAAGAUAACCCGCUCUUAUACUAAUUGUUGGAAUUCUAACCCUUAAAUUCGCUUGAUAAACAAGUAUAUUCUAUAUGUUCCUUCGCAAAUUACAACAGUUACUUUUGUGAUGCAAGUAACAUAAUGACACAAUAUUUUAUUGCGGAAAACCCCAACUCAUAAAGAUAAAAAACCACGACCUACACCUCUAUAGGAUUUAACUCCACUUUAUUAAAUUUCAAGUCUCAACAAAAGAUUACAAGCCUAUGUAACCUAAGUAAUUAUAAACUCUAAUUUCAAGAGGAAUUAUAAACUCUAAUUCCUAGCUAAGAAAUUAUAAACUCUAAUUUCUAGCUACCCAAGACAAAAAAAAAACCUUAGGUUUAAGUCUUCUACCAUCCGUCAAGUUUCUCAAACUUGUUUGAUGAAUCGUACACACACACUCGAUUGUAAUCCAAAAUCUUAAUUACAAUCUUACAAUGUUUUCCUCACAAAGUGGCAACACUCCCAAGUAACUCUCAAAACUCUCUCAAACCUCUUGAUCGUGUUUUGAUCUUCUCUCUAUUUAAGUGCACAAUUUUUCUCAAGCGAAACUAUCGCCCUAUUUAUAAACUUGGACUUGAAUCAAAACUUAUUUCAACUAAAAAUCCUACUUCAUGUAGGACUCCUCUUUUGUGUGGAACUCUUAGUUCAAAUCGAAGUUGUCUUCGCGCAUCUUCAACUCCUUGUCUGAAUCAACUUUGUCUUUGCCUCUACAAAACUUUGUUAAGUUCAACUUGGAUUCUUUAUCAUUGUUUGUCUUUCCCCGCAACCGCUUCUUCGUUCUUCUUAAACUUGUGAUGCCGCCUCAAGGAAAACUUAUACAUAGUUUUCCUUAAGUAAGUUGCCAGGAAAACUUACAAUAAUUUUCCUUCCACAAAAUUUCCUUAAUCAAAUAAGAAAAACCUUAUUGAACGCUACUUCCUUUUUCAACUUGGUUGCGAACUCCUUUAUAAAAGAAAACUUUUUGUACUUUUUGCUUGUCAAAAAAGCAAUACUUCCACAUCUUUAUAUCUCCUAUUCGCGAGAUUGACAUUCUCCUUAUCCAAGUUGAAUUCAGUCUGUAAGGAACACAUCGAACAACCUUUUUCUUUCAUAUGUUCCUGUAUUUGUCAAUUAUCAAAAGCUUUCUCAUUCUAACAGAUAUCAUUAAUCGUGAAAUAGCAGCAAACAUACUUCAAGAAAAACCAUCAAUGUUGACAUACUGGAGCAGUUACAAAGAUUUAUUAGAAAGACUCUCAAAUUCAGUAUGUCUUCUUCAUCUCUUCUUGAACACCCUUAAGCUUUAAAUAUCAUCAACUUCACGUUCCUUAGCCUCAUUCCUCGAAUUAACCAGGGACAGUUUGUCCGUUAAUUUUGUUAAUCGUUUGUUGAUCUCUUCUUACCCUCCAUUAUACCAUUUUUCACCAUAUCUGCAACCUCUGAUUAAGGGGGGAAAAAGGCAUAAGAAAAAAUAAUUGAAGGACUUGCUGCAAUAGAAUUUGUUCAAGUAAGAUUAAUCUAUAAUUUUUUUACGAAAUUAAUAUCAAUAAAUAUUUUCAUUUACAUUGUACUUUAUUUUAAUGAAACUAAAUAAAGAGAAUAACCCUAAUUUCUUUAGGUUAUCAUUAAAAGUGAUUAACUUUAAGGGGUUUGAACAACCAAAAAAUUAAAAAUUUAUGAUAUCCCUAAUUUUAAUUGAUCUAUAUCAAGCAAGUAAUUUAGAUUUAUAAGUCUAUACGAUAUAUGAAAUACAAUGCUAAUACUUUUCCCUUUUCAACACUUAAAAUGUUGCGAUACUUUGAAUUACCUAAUAUAAUCUAGAAAAUAACGAAAAAAUAGAUACGAUUCCGUAGACUCCUUAGGACUCACAACAAAACUUGAUAAAAAACAUCCAGAGAAGGAUUAAAAUGAAAUAAAAAUUUCCUCUUGAUACAAAAACUUAAAGAGUAAUAACUUACACACAAAUGUUAAGUCACGCAAGGUCAAACACAUGAGGUAAUCGCCUUUUAGUUUUGAGAUAUAGUGAAAAAUGAGGAGAAAAUAUGUGUGUAUUUAUAGGACUAUAAAAUAUUCAAAUGAGAAAAAUGGUCAAUAGUGUAGCACCCUUAUUUAAUUUCUUAUUAAUUAUAUUAUGACAGUGGGGAAGUGGGAAAAGAAUAACGACAAAUAAUAUCAAUUUAAAAGAUUGAUGAUUUUUUUAAAAUCCUCUUCUUAAAUAGUAAGAACUGUAAUGUGAAUAAAAAUAUAUUUUAUCAAUCAAGGAAAAUAUUAGAAUUAUAUUCAAAUCAAGUAAAAUAUUUUUAGAAUAUAAGUCAAUGAAAUAUUUCAAAUUUAGUAGUAUACACACCUUCGAUAAAAAUUAAAUUUUGAAUUCUAUAAAUUAGCACUCUUGUGGGUGAUAAUUUACUAAAAAGGACUUUUAUGCUUUAUUAAUUGGACUCCAUCAAGAACUUUAAAAAAUGCCAUCCUUUAAUCAAAUUUAUAAAUAAUUCGGAUUAUAUUAAAUUCAUAAAUAUAUUAAUUUAAAUUAAUAUAUUUGAGUUAUAUAUUUAAGUCCAACAAAAAUGGACUUAAUUAAAAUCUAAAUUAUUUGAUUUGACUACCAUAUAUUGAGCAUAAGUUAAAUAUUAUUUUCUGUAUUAAUUUUAUUUUGUUAAUUAUUAAAAGACAGAUUUUAUUUUUACUUGUUAUUAUUAAAAUGCAAAAGUAAAGUAGUUUUAAAUUUUUUUGGUUGAUAGAAUCACACUAUUUUUAUGUACUGAGCAUAAGUUAAAUAUUAUUUUGUGUUAAUUUUAUUUAUUCAUUAUUAAAAGAUAGAUUUCAUUCUUGCUUCUUAUCAUUACAAUGCAAAGUGAGGUUAAUAAUUCUGUUAUUUUUUAUUUUUAAAUUUUAAUGACUUAUUUUUUAAAAUUAUUUUUAAAACUUAAUAUUAAAGAUUAAUUAAUAGAAAUAUUUUGUGAAAAAAUAGUCUUGUUAAUCAUUAAUUUUUAAUAUAUAAACGUGACAAAUAAAAUUAAACAAGAGAAUAUAGGCUUCAGGUUAUAUUGAGAAACUAAUUUAUGAAAAUAAAUUUAAUGAGGAGAACCAAUAAUACGAUGAAAAUGUUAUUCUCCAAUUUGUUGGGAUUUUUUGUGAAACCAAUUCAUGUCAAUUAAUUAUAAUUAAUAACAUAUAUAUUUGUUUUUUUAAUUUAAAUCUUAUAUUAAUAUAUUUGUUCUUACACUUGUUCAUUUUAGCAAAUUAAGUAAAAAAGUUUUCGUAUAAUAUAUCUUUUUUAGUAAAUAAUUAUAUGAAAUACUAAUGGUCAAUUUUAUUAAUUAAGAUUUAUUUUUAUAAAAUACAAAUCUAUCUAACGUGUAGUUUUAAUGAAAGAAACCUAAUAAUUGAUCUGGUUCAAUUUAAUGUGCUCGUUAUUUUAGUUUCUGGAAUUUGAUUAUUUGAAAAACAUCUUUCGCAAAUGCAUAUUAUACUUCUAAACAAUUAGGAAUUUUGAUUUAUUUAGAACAUUAGUAAUAUAUAUUAGAAAAAAUUGUAUGAAAUAGUAAACUAUUAAUUCAAAUUAAAUGUUAUAGUCAAAAUUUAUUUUAAUUGUAAUUCGCACCAAACAUUCUUUAUUUUUAUUUGCCAUCUUUUGAUACACAAUUAACCAUUUUAUAUAUUUCGUAUAAAAUGUAUAAAUUGCGUUUGUUUUGUAUAAAGCUAGAAAAAUAUAUAUACAAAUACAAAUAUAUCUAUUUUCAUCCUAUACACUUAUAGUUAUACAAAUACAAAUCUUAUUAUGCAAAUUACAAUGUAUAAUGAAUUUAUUCAAAACCUAACAUUUGUAUAAAAUUGGAUGUUUCUAACGAAUUAUACAAAUCAAAAGCUCCAUAGCAAUAAUAAAAUUUUCUAUGGAGCCCAAUUAAGCAAACCAUAUAAAUAACAUACAAAUAUAAUUUUUAUAAUUGCUAUAUAUGAAAUUUACUCAUAUAUUAAUCUUGGGUCCAGACACGGGCCAUUUUUCUAGUAAUAUACUCCCUCCCUUUUAAAAAGAAUGACCUAGUUCGACUUGGAACGGAGUUUAAGAAAAGAAAGAAGACUUUUUAAUCUUGUGGUUAUAUAUUAAAGUUAUGUCAAAUGUAUCAAAACGCUCUUAAAUCUUGUGAUCUUAAACAUGUCAUGUUGAAAGUUAAAGUUAAAGCGUUGUCGAAAAAAGAAAAGUAUAUAUAAUUUUCACGAAAGUUUUUGCCUUUUCGAAUUCACAUACAUAUUGGACAAAUUAGUAGAAUUAAAGAGAUAUUAUUGAAUACAUCAAUUUAAGUGGAAUGACCAUUAAGAUAUCUUUAGUGUAAUUUUUGCAACUUUUUCCAUUCUCAAUAAUCGGGUUAUAUUGAUGUCGUUAUUUGAUAUUUAAAAAAAAAGGAAUAUUACAAACUCAAUAAAAAAUGGAAAAAUUACAUAAAUUAAUACAUUUUAAAAAUAAUUACUGAUUUUAGCGAUACUUUUUGUUUAUUACCAUUUAUAGCAAUACUUUGUUAAAUCUAUAAUAUGAAUUAAAAGUGAAUUAUGUAUGCAAUAUAUAUGAAUUAUAAUUGUUUUUUGAAAUAUAUCAUGUUUGUUUGGUAAAAAAUUGUCACAUUGUAUUAUAAAUGUAUUAAAAUGUGUGAUAAAUGUAUUAUUCAUCAUUAAAAUUUGUAUUAUAUGUGAAUAAUAAAUUAUUCUUUGUAAUAUGUAUUAAACUUGUAUUAUAAAUGAAUUAAAAGUGAUCAAGUGAGAUAAAAAUAUUAUUGCUAUAAAUGGUAAAUAUUUUUUUAUUAUAGUAUAUUUAUGUAAGUUUCCCAUAAAAAAUUGUAUAAAAAUUAUAGAAUUUUUAUUAUUUAUUAAACUAUAUAUUUUAUUAAUCAUAUUAUUGUAGGAACUCAACUUUAUAUCAGCUAGUAGUCUAAUACUUCUAUAUCUCGUCAAGUAGUUUAGCAUGUUUAGCACUCGUCUUAAACAAGAGUUAGUUUAGGCAAUUAGUUAGACCAUUCUUGUAUAUCAACACAAUUUUGGAUCAAUGAAAGAUACACCGAUAUCUUGUUUUUAUAUGGUAUCAACAACCCUAAUAAACUCUAAAGAAGAACUAUUUUUUUUUCUUUUCUCUUCCACCCACCCUCCACAAAUGGGAGAUGCUACUCGCAUUGUUAAUGCUGAUUACAAGGCCGAUACAAUGAUCGCUCAAUUUAACCAUGCCUCCCGAUUUCCUAUAAAUUACAUGGCAGUCACAAUUUUGCAACGUGGAAGGCAUAAUUGUCAAUGCUUAUGCAUGGUCAUGAUCUCUAUGGUUGUCUCAAUGGUGACAUUGGUAGCACAUGACCGCUACAAGGUUGGACUUGUUGUAAAAGAGUUUACACGACGUCCUGGAGUUGAUUACCAUUCCACAUCUAAACUGAUUAUCAAACCAACUACUAUGCGCUUGGUGCUCUCAAUUGUUGUCCAUCAGAAUUGGCCCCUCCGCCAACUUGAUGUCAACAACGGGUUCUCGCAGGGUCGUCUACAAGAAGAAGUGUACAUGGUCCAACCUCCGGGUUUUGCAGAUAUCAGUUCCCUUCCUAUAUAUGUAGUCUAAAUAAAGUCAUCUACUGACUCAAGAAAACCCAUGGGCAUGGUACAAUGAACUCAAGAUGUUUCUUCUGUAUCUGGGAUUUGUCAAGUAAGAAUUUGAUGCCUCACUUUUCAUUCUCGGAGUGUCGAACAUCAUUUUGUACGCCCUGUUUUAUGUGGACGAUAUCAUCACCACAAGGAAUCACAACUCUGAGGUAAAUCAGGCCAUCUAUGGACUCAAGCAAGCCUCUCGGGCAUGAUACAAUGAACUCAAUACUUUCCUUCUGUAUCUCGGAUUUGUCAAGUCAAAAUAUUAUAUGAUGCCUCACUUUUCAUUUGCGAAGUGUCAAACAAAAUUUUGUACGCCUUGAUUUAUGUGGAUGAUAUCAUCAUCACAGGGAAUCACAACUCCGAGGUAAAUCAGGGUAUAACUUCUCAUGCUGGACAUUUUUUCAUUAAGGAUCUUCCGUAUCUGCACGUCUUCCUUGGAAUUGAGGUGGUUCGUAUUGCCAAAGGUAUUACCUUAUCACACUCUAACUAAAUAAAUGAAAUUCUCUCCGAAGAAAACAUGCAGGACAACAAUUCGGCAAAACCCCCAAUGAGUGCCACUGACGUGCCUCAACUAAAUGUUGGUGCGCCACCAACUGAUGCCACUCGUUAAUGGAGAGUUCUUGGAAAACUACAAUACUUAUCUUUUACUCGUCCGAUACCAACUUCUCUGUAAAUAAAUUUUCUUAAUUUAUGCAUCCCCAUCUGAAGUCCACUGGAAUUCACUCAAACGAGUAUUCAAGUAUCUCCAAGGCACAAUUUGGCUUGCUCUUAACAUUCAAAGAUAUAAGAUUUCAAGCUAUACAUGUACUCUAAUGCGAAUUGGGCCGGAGAUGUAAGGGAUUGAGUUUCCACUACCUGUUACGUCUUUUUUUUUUGACCAAAAUCCUGUGAGCUAGUCCUCCAAAUAAACAAAGAACAAUUGAUCGCUCAUCAACUAAAGAAGAGUAUCGUGUUGUUGCAUCUGCACUCGUUGAAAAAUAACUGGGUGACCAAUCUGCUAAAUAAACCACAUGUUUCACUUCCCAAGCACAAACCAUUUACUAUGACAAUGUGGGUGCAACUUAUCUGUGUGCAAAUCCAGUUUUUCAUAGCGGCAUGAAGCACAUUGUUAUAGACUUUCACUUUGUUCGCAAUCAAUUUCAGUAGAAUCAAGUUCACAUUGUUCAUAUCAAUGAUGCAGAUCAACUCACGGACACUCUCAUCAAAGCACUACUGAAGCUAGCCUCUGAUAAACACUUAUUCAAGCCAGGAAUUGUUUCACACCGCCUAUCUUGAGGGGGACGUAUUAAAGCACGUGUUAAUUAUUAUAUUUAGUUGAUUAUUGUUUGACAUAUUCUACAGGUAGUAGUCUAGCACUCCUAUAUCUCUUCAAGUAGUUUAACACGUUUCAUACUCCUCUUAAAGAGGAGUUAGUUCAGGCAAUUAGUUGGUCCAUUCUUAUAUAUAAACAUAAUAUUGGAUUAAUGAAAGAUAUAUAUACUGAUCUCUUCCUUUUAUAAUAAUAACUAGUUCAAGUUGUGAAAUUUUAUAAUGUAACUUGGAAUUGUUCAGCCAUAAGGUAUUCAGGAUUAUCAACAGACACUUCGUUGAGGUCAUGUGAUAUUCCAGCCAUCUUUGGUUAGCCUUUUCGUAUUUCGGAGGACUUAACCUUUAUGUUGGGAUAAUGCACAAGUACCCCCUCAAUCUAUGCCCAAAAUCUUAGAGACAAACUUAUACUAUACUAAAGUCCUAUUAUCCCAUAAACUUAUUUUAUUAAUAAUUUUCUACCCCUUUUAAGCCAAUGUGACACUAACUUGUGGGUCUAACGAUGAUUGACUUUUUUUUCAAGCUAGUGCCACGUAGGCCGAAAAGGGGUAGAAAAUUACUUAUAAAAUAAGUUCAAGGGAGGGGGUAAUAGGACCUUAAUAUAAUAUAAGUGUGUCUCAGGGAUUUCGGUCAUAGGUUGAGGAGUACUUGUGCAUAUUCCCUUUAUCUUACAGUUAGUAGUUUUGAGAUUUCAGGGGUCUAGUCAUGAUAUCCUUAUGUAAUAGUAGGUAUUUCAUAGAUUAAUAAAGUUGAGUAGUUUUCAGUAUGUAUCUUCUUUGAAUUGUUUUUACAAACUCUGAGCUUAUCUAUUGAGUAGUUUUCAGAUCUUUUUAAAGAUUGAAUAUUUUAGCAAAUUUAGUUUUUUAAGCUUUUGUAUGCUAUGGUAUUCGUGUCGAUCACGUCUAGAGUGUAGGCACGGGUUGGGUCGGGUCGUGACUGCUAAGAUGCCAGUUACAAGCCACCACACUUUUCUGGUCUUUGUUUGUUCUACUUUACCUUUAUUCAUAUUCUAUAGACUUUCUAAAUUAAUGUUGUGGAAUAAUUUGAAAUCUUCCUUUUAACCAUUCACAUAAGCAAACAGAGUCAAGAAAAUCUAAAUAUAUUAAAAAAUGACAUGGGUGUUUUUUUCCAGUUUGAAAAUGGCAAAGCCUUAUGAUAGUGAAAAUCACAUCUUAAGUUAAAGGGGAACGCCAAAACCACAAGCUCAAAAAUAUAUACCAUGACAAGAAUAUGACCUUGCCUAAAGAAUAAAACAAGAUAGCAAAGGUUUAAUAUUAUUUCCUUUUGUAUAUAAAACAUCAAUAGUAUACAUAAAAUAAACAAGUAAAGUAUUGGUGAUAUUGUUGAUCAGGUCUACUGGUCAAUGUGCACCCACAUUCCACGGCUAGGAACACUGCGGUGAACCACGAAGAGUAAAUAGUAGCCUGGUGGAGCAAUUCUCCCAGAAGGUGGUGCAACUACAGUAACUUCUUGAUUCGUCACAGCUUGAAGCUUCAAAAUGAGCAGCCUUUGUCCUUGAGAGUAGCCAUGUGUUGUAAAAGGUGGUGCAUACAUGGUAACUUUAAUAUCAGUCUCAUCUACAAAUUCAUCCAACUUGAUAUUGAUCUUAAAAUUCUGACCAUAUUUCAUCUCCUUGUUGGCUCCAUUCUCAAGAAUUAGAGGUUUGUGUUGUUCCAACUCAGGUGCCAAGUAAGGAGGUGAGAAUUUCUCCACUCUCAAAUCAGUUGGAUAUUUAGCCUGGAAGUCAUACACGGCAUGGGUAUUGCUGCCCGCCACUAAAAUCUUGCCAUCAGGCAAAACAGCAGAAACGGAAUGGUACAUUCUAGGGAUUUGUGAAGGGUUCAAUUCCUUGAACCUCUGUCCUUUUGGUUUGUUUGGGCUAUAGAGAAGUGGCACAAGAUUAGGUUCCUCAGCAGCAUCCCAUGCCGAAGUUCCUGUCUUUGCUCCAUUGAUGAUCAAUAUAUCUCCGUUUGGUAGAAGCAACAUGUCUCCCAUCACUCUUGGUGAAAGCAUUUCUUCGAUAUCCCAUUGAGCUCCUUGUCUGUUAGCAAAUAUUCUUCCACAAUCUUUUAAUGCAGGGAAGAAUUGUCUAGGUGGAAACUCGGAAUAUUUGAAGGCAUCCUUGGUAUUUCCACCACAAACAAUGAUCUCAACUUCAACAUCGUCAGGAUUAGGAGUAUUGAGAUUGAUUGGCAAAAGUGCGGACGUUCCUGAUGCUGGAUAGUUUCUUGAACCUCCAGGGAGUACAGGAAGAUCGCGGAUGGUUUUUCCAGUAUAAGGAUCAAUGAUUAUUGAUCUAUCGUUUGCAAAAAUAAAUACAUUCCCAUCGGGAAGAAGAUUGACGAAUGGAUAGAGAUUGUUUUCUUUCUCGUCUUCAGUCUCGACAAGGAAAUUUAACCCAAAUUG
rnacentral:lncRNA from 1 species